rnacentral:misc_RNA from 1 species
UCCAUAUUCAUUUAAUCCAAACCCUACGUUAAUUUGAUGGGAGUUAUUGCUCGUUCUGCUGACGUUAAUAUCCUGAACCAGCAAGUAGGGCAGACCACACACACACAAAAAUUUGGCCCCAAAAGUGUUAAAUUGGAAAGAAAAAACAGCAAAGAUUGGCAAAUUUAAAAACUGCCAGAAGCAUUUCCCAUAUCCAAUAUUGGGCUGUACAAUAUAUUAACAAAUCAGAUUGUCAAAGCAUGAUACCCUGUGAUGUGUAUAUUAUUUACAUAACCAUUCCCUUAUGACCCACCAAAAUCAACCAAAACCAAACCCUUCAUUGGCUUCAUGAAUGGCAAGCAGCAAUCUCUCUUCUAGAUGUUGUUUGGAAGGAUACUCUGGUAAAUCCAACUGAUUGAAACAAGUAUGAGCCGAAGGCAAGUGAUCAGGGCUUCCAUAUGCCUUGUGUAUUUGGAACUUUUGGGAACCUGAGAUUCCUUGAAGUGCACUGAAGCCUUCUAAAGGCACCUUGGAGGUGCCUGUCACAAACUGUAGAAGGCGAGCCUUAUCCUCCUUGCUGAACCCUUGAACAACCUCCCAAAACCACUGUAUGACAGGGGAUGCAGCGCUAUAUCCAGAAUACUCGGUGUUUGCCCUCAUGUCAUCCACUGAAAGGCAUUAGAUAAAAACAAGCAUUAAGAACCUCAACUCAGAUAUUGCAAAAAUAUUUUUUGAUGGGGCUAGAAAGGAAAUCACAAAUCCUGUAACACAUGUAAGAACAACUGAGAGAAACUCACAAUCAAUAUCUGGAAGUCCACUUAUCAACAAUUCUAAUUCCUUGUCAUUAAAAAUAGAUAUCAAUUCCCUAGGAAUUAAUUCAUUGAAUCCCUCCAUAAAGGCAUUUAUUUGAGGACGUAUAGCAGUUGUCAACCGAUGCUCCGCAACUAAAUCAACAUAUUGGUGCUUGUUUUCCUCGGUAACUUUGAUAUUACGUCCACCAGGAAUCAGUUCAUAAUCUGUUACUUCAGUCCGUUCAUACAGUAUAAGCUUCUCCUCAUCAGCAUCAAUACUGAAAGUAAGGUCCAGAACAUCACUUAUAUCAUUCUCGAGCAUCCACUUAAGGUUUUUAAAGUAAUGGGGAUCAAUAGCUUCAAUGUCGUGAUAUGUAACUUUAACUCCUAAAAUAUGCUUGUAGAAAGAUCUAGUGAAAUGAACAUCCAACAGUUGCCCAUCAAAAAGUGCUUUCCCCACAACUCUCCCAACAAAUUUGAAGUAUGACAAAUGUUCUGUUUGGUAAACAGAGUUGGGGUUUGGCUGAAAAGUAGAUUCAUUUCCCACUGUUGUAAAAAGCAGUGCUCCCUUGUCAAAAAUAACCCUGGACAACAACUGAUACCAUUCCCUUGUAAGUCCGCCAGCAUCAAUACCUUCCUCUCCUUGAAAAUGAACAGUCAGCCUCCCUUUCAAAUCUUGGUUUGACCUCAUGCGUAGUUGGUUAUAUGAAUCUUCGAGAAUGUAAGCUCUUCUUACAGAAAUUCUCAAAGGACUUUGAUGGUGAUCAUGCUGAUGCUUUAUUUUUGAUCUAAAGUGAGAUCUUUUGUUGUCAAAAUCAACAAAACGGGGAACCUUCAGCAUGAGUGAGAAGGACUUCUCAAGCAACCCAGGAUUUUGGCGGAUGAAAGCAUUAAGGAGCUUCCUAUGUUUCUCAGAAAAUUUAACAAAUGCAAUGUGUUUUUCAUCAACUUUUGAAACAGGGGCUGAGAUUUUCUGAUGGGCAGCAGAUGUGCUCACAUCUUCAACUUCAGAAACUGCACCAUAGUCAUGACUGGAACCCGACUGUGCAGUAUGCAACUUUUCACACAUUACAAAGAAGGACUCGAUGUAUGGUAAGAUGUUCUGAGAGCCUGCAGGCAGAGGAGGUGUUACACCGGAUGGUUUUGAUGUGGAAGUUCUAGGAAGUAGCAAAUCAGGUACAGAAUCUGAGUAGCUCUCUAUCUUGCUAAUACAAGUGCUCAGCCCCAGCCACAAAGGCUCUAAAGCUCCAUUGAUGUCGCACAACUGAGAAAGAGCUGCACUUUGCUCCUUCUCUGGAAGAAUCUGUUGGUCCUUUUCUUUCUCAACUAGUGAGGCAACAAGAGAGCUUAAUGCCUGCAGAACCCUCAAAAUAGCAGCUCCAUCAGAAGAAGUUGUCCUAAGGAGUGCUUUCACUUCUUCACCAAACAGGCGUAGCUCGUUCAUAGCAGAUUUAGUAAGAUUCUGUACAGCAUCUGCUAGCUCAUUAAUAAACAGAUGACAAUGACUUGGGGCAAUUACCACCAGCUUCUUCAUUACCUCCGCUACAAGAGUAUAUGCAUUAUCUGACAAACCUUCUCGUGCCAGAAAUGAGCAGAGAAGUCGAAGUUCUGCUUGUGGCAGGUUCAAUAGAACACUUUGAGCAUCACAUUCAUUAUUUGUACCAGGAGUUGUGGAUUUAGAGGAAUCAAUGGCUGUGGACGAUGAAUCAGAAGCACUGCCAACUUCCACAUUUGUUUUAGCAUCUGAUGCGAAAUUCUGGGGAGCAGAUGGUUGUUCAGUACCAGCCCCAGAUUUAUCUGAUAAACUUGGCUUGCAUUCAGCACUGUCAAUGAUUACCUCCAAUAAGUUAAGCAGCUGCUCAAGAUGUGCUAUACUUCUUGAAUAAAGAGGUUGGUUCAAGAGGCUCAAAAGCAAGGCGAUGGAUACAUAUCCUUCCUGACACUGUUUUGCAUCUGUUUCAUACUCUUCCACUAUCAUCACAGCUUUACCACGUGAUCGAUCAGAGCUCUCAUGCUGCUGUAGUGCAGGGAGAGGGAGCCUAAACUGCAGCAAAAUUUUUGCCACAUAGGGAUGAUUUCGAGCCAAGUAAGUCAGCGUCUCAAGGACACGCCGAGAUACCAAGGGUGGGACCCCAUCAAAAGAUUGUGGACGAGAAUACAUCACAUUGCUCUGGCAAGCAUAGAGCCUAUAUGAUGGCACAGCAGCAUUUAAAUAAUUGGCAGGCCUUGUAUCAACCAUCAACAUGUCCAUAAGGAUUUUUACAAGAGCAGUUCUUGUUUCACCAUGAGCACAUAAAUUCAAAAGAAGCCUCUGCAAAGGACCUUUAUAUAAUGGCUGAACAAUGCGUAGCACCCGUAUCAUUGCUUGAAGCGAUUCCGUCUCAACCAAAGGAGAUCCAUCAGCUUCAACAAGCUUAGCAGUGAUAGACCUGCGUGAGGCAGUCCCAGCUCUCUCCAGGCUGUAUCCAAUACCUUCACCUCGCCGAGAAGACUCACCCCUGCGACUUCUGGGAUACAUACCAAAGAGCGUACGAUUAUGAUAACGAUGUGCAAAUCUUUCACGUAACAUGUUAGCCUCCGCAACAAGAGCAGGUGUUAGAUUAGCAAGUAUAGCAUCGGACGAUGUUAGGAGAACCUCUUCACGCAAAUCUGAUGGAAAUGUUGCAAUUAUAGAGACUGUGUCCAUUUCAACUGGUUGACCUUCCAGUUCAUGAGAUUGAUGAAGCCUCUGUGCUUGCUGUUGUGCUAAAACCUCUGCUCGAAUGUCUGGAGGAAGAGCUGCAAGGAAUUCUGGAUCAAUAUCCCCAGUGUUUUGUGGUUCAGCAUUUGAAGGUUGGGCCACUUGACCCUGUUGAGCAGAAAGAACUUCAGCCCGCAACUCCUCAGGAAGGGCAUCCAAGAAUGCUGGAUCGAUUGAUCCAGAACCAGCCUCACCACCACUUUGCUGUUCCACUGCUGGACCUUCUUGUUCUGCUUCUCUGCUUGAAUUUUCUGAAACUUCAGUGACACUAUGAAGUGAUGCAUCUCUCCCACUUACAGCUGUGGAAUUCCCCAAAGAAAGAUUUGUUCUUCUCGUCCGAGUUGCCUGUGAAUCCAAAUGCAUUCUAUCUGUUGAACCUUGCCUUUCUCCACCAUCAUCAUGACCAUCAGCACUUCCAAUUUCAACAUCUAGGCUACGAAGGCUUUCCCCUAGAGUUGCCCCACUACCACUACUUUCCUGGCUAACUGCUUCAACAUCUCGGACAGCAGCAUCAUUAUGUUCAAACUGCAUUUCAACAGACUGCAAGUGAGAAUCACUUGUUACUGGUCUCAUCUCAAUAUUGACAGAUCUGCCCACUGCUACAGAAGAGGGAGGAGGCACAUUGCUGCUCCCAUUGUUCACAUUGUUUUCAACGGGUGUAUCAGGCUGUACUGCAUCUGGUCCAGGUAACUGGCUAACCUCACCAUUGAUUUUAGGUUCUGCUGUUGAUGUAUUCUGAUCAGAAGACUUCUCAGAAACUGGUUGCCUCAACUGAGAAACAAGCAACUCCUCAAGGCCCUGUGGUACAGAUGCACUAGAACCACCACUUUGCUGGUUAUCAUCACUCCACAAGUUCAAACGGUGUCCAUGACGCCCAUUUCUUAGGGAUCGGAAGAUACUAUCCAGCUGAGAUGAAGUAUUCUCCAAGUUCCUAUCUGAUUGUCUGCCAGAGGCCGAGUGUGAUGCAGAAGGUCCAACUAGAAGGGGAUGGCGCAAGGGGACAGCACUGUCACCACUUCUACCAAGAAGAUUGUAAAUGGAUGUAGUUCGGCCCUGACGUCUAGAACCAAAAACUUCAACUGGCAUCACAUGAAGAGUUUCAUUGGGGAAACUAUGAUCCCUACCAAAAACUUCAAUAUGAUCCAAAACAUUUAUCCCAUUGAUGCCCUCCUCCAGCCGAAGUAUCACCCCGUCCUCAUCUUCCUCCUCAUCUUCA